GAUGAACGCUGGCGGCGUGCCUAAUACAUGCAAGUCGAGCGAACAGACGAGGAGCUUGCUCCUCUGACGUUAGCGGCGGACGGGUGAGUAACACGUGGAUAACCUACCUAUAAGACUGGGAUAACUUCGGGAAACCGGAGCUAAUACCGGAUAAUAUAUUGAACCGCAUGGUUCAAUAGUGAAAGACGGUUUUGCUGUCACUUAUAGAUGGAUCCGCGCCGCAUUAGCUAGUUGGUAAGGUAACGGCUUACCAAGGCGACGAUGCGUAGCCGACCUGAGAGGGUGAUCGGCCACACUGGAACUGAGACACGGUACAGAAUCCUACGGGAGGCAGCAGUAGGGAAUCUUCCGCAAUGGGCGAAAGCCUGACGGAGCAACGCCGCGUGAGUGAUGAAGGUCUGCGGAUCGUAAAACUCUGUUAUUAGGGAAGAACAAAUGUGUAAGUAACUAUGCACGUCUUGACGGUACCUAAUCAGAAAGCCACGGCUAACUACG
rnacentral:rRNA from 1 species